AUCAGCCAUGACUUGGAAUAGUACUUUUAUCCAGCAAGCAGCGUUUUGGAUGUGAGCUCGAGCUCAAGCAACAAGCAGAGCAUCAAAAACAGGGGCUCUAUCUGCUAAUGGGGUAGCCGGAAAUGCAGUCUAAGAGGUACAUCUCGUGUGAUUUCUGCAUAUGAGAACUUGAGAAGAACAAGCUUGAUGCUAUUACUGAAAAGAAGAAUCUAUGCUACAGGAUUCUUCUUUGCAUCCCAUACACUUAGACGGAGUGGGAGGCUGCCGCAGCGGUGCUGGACUCGGAGCCCAAGCCAUUCGACGCCGCCAACAGCUUGCAGCUCUUCGCGAAAAUCACCACGAGUGUGAUGUGCUGACAGUCUGAUGCCUUCAGAAUUGGCUACUUUCAACCAAGAUUAGAGCUAGCGUACAGUUUGCAGUUUAUAGUCAAACUCAUACUCAAUGAGUCCCUACCUCGGCUUCUGGGCAAGAUAUUCUUUACUUUUAGCAACCACUUCUGUUCAGGAAUUUUGAGUUGCGCACAUCCUGGUCUGGCGAGCGGCAAGCCGAUGACCGGACAUCAUUUGUCAAGGAAGCAAACAGAAGGACUACACUCACAAGGAACCAUGAAGCCAACGAUCCACGUCAACUAGAUGUUUUAGCUUUCAUUUUGUACAACUAAUGUCUCAUACUUGCAUCUUUUGGUUGUCCUUUUGUAAACCUGAUGUAUGGUGUCUUAGUGGUUUUGUUUAGAACAGAUUGAAGUGUAUGUAUAUGCCAAUUAGUUAAUGAAAUAAAAAAAGUUUGGUGCUCC
rnacentral:rRNA from 1 species